UAGGGUUUGAUCCUGGCUCAGGACGAACGCUGGCGGCGUGCUUAACACAUGCAAGUCGAGCGAUGAAGCACCUUCGGGUGUGAAUUAGCGGCGAACGGGUGAGGAACACGUGAGAAAUCUGCCUUCAACACUGGGAUAACUCCGGGAAACCGGGGCUAAUACCGGAUAUGAAACCUGCGGGCAUCCGCGGGUUUGGAAAGUUUUUCGGUUGAAGAUGAUCUCGCGGCCUAUCAGCUUGUCGGUGAGGUAAUGGCUCACCAAGGCGACGACGGGUAGCCGGCCUGAGAGGGCGACCGGCCACACUGGGACUGAGACACGGCCCAGACUCCUACGGGAGGCAGCAGUGGGGAAUAUUGGGCAAUGGAGGAAACUCUGACCCAGCGACGCCGCGUGCGGGAUGAAGGCCUUCGGGUUGUAAACCGCUUUCAGCAGGGAAGAAGCGAAAGUGACGGUACCUGCAGAAGAAGCACCGGCUAACUAUGUGCCAGCAGCCGCGGUAAUUC
rnacentral:rRNA from 1 species